rnacentral:rRNA from 1 species
UACGUAGGGGGCUAGCGUUGUCCGGAAUUAUUGGGCGUAAAGGGCUCGUAGGCGGCUUGUCGUCGUCGGCUGUGAAAUCCCGUGGCUCAACUGCGGGUCUGCAGCCGAUACGGGCAGGCUAGAGUUCGGUGAGGGGAGACUGGAAUUCCCUGGUGUAGCGGUGAAAUGCGCAGAUAUCAGGAGGAACACCGAGUGGCGAAGGCAGGUCUCUGGGCCAUAACUGACGCUGAGAAGCGAAAGCAUGGGGAGCGAACAGG